UGUCCGGCAGCCCGGUCAGGUCGAUCGCCACCGGAUGCACGCUGGUGAACCAGCCCAGGGUGCGGUUCAGGUCCGCGCCGGGCACC
rnacentral:tRNA from 1 species